rnacentral:rRNA from 1 species
ACAGUUGGAAACGACUGCUAAUACCGCAUAAUGUCUACGGACCAAAGGGGGCUUCGGCUCUCGCCUUUAGAUUGGCCCAAGUGGGAUUAGCUAGUUGGUGAGGUAAUGGCUCACCAAGGCGACGAUCCCUAGCUGGUUUGAGAGGAUGAUCAGCCACACUGGGACUGAGACACGGCCCAGACUCCUACGGGAGGCAGCAGUGGGGAAUAUUGCACAAUGGGCGCAAGCCUGAUGCAGCCAUGCCGCGUGUGUGAAGAAGGCCUUCGGGUUGUAAAGCACUUUCAGUCAGGAGGAAAGGUUAGUAGUUAAUACCUGCUAGCUGUGACGUUACUGACAGAAGAAGCACCGGCUAACUCCGUGCCAGCAGCCGCGGUAAUACGGAGGGUGCGAGCGUUAAUCGGAAUUACUGGGCGUAAAGCGUACGCAGGCGGUUUGUUAAGCGAGAUGUGAAAGCCCCGGGCUCAACCUGGGAACUGCAUUUCGAACUGGCAAACUAGAGUGUGAUAGAGGGUGGUAGAAUUUCAGGUGUAGCGGUGAAAUGCGUAGAGAUCUGAAGGAAUACCGAUGGCGAAGGCAGCCACCUGGGUCAACACUGACGCUCAUGUACGAAAGCGUGGGGAGCAAACGGGAUUAGAUACCCCGGUAGUCCACGCCGUAAACGAUGUCUACUAGAAGCUCGGAGCCUCGGUUCUGUUUUUCAAAGCUAACGCAUUAAGUAGACCGCCUGGGGAGUACGGCCGCAAGGUUAAAACUCAAAUGAAUUGACGGGGGCCCGCACAAGCGGUGGAGCAUGUGGUUUAAUUCGAUGCAACGCGGAAACCUUACCUACACUUGACAUACAGAGAACUUACCAGAGAUGGUUUGGUGCCUUCGGGAACUCUGAUACAGGUGCUGCAUGCCUGUCGUCAGCUCGUGUUGUGAGAUGUUGGGUUAAGUCCCGCAACAAGCCCAACCCCUAUCCUUAAUUGCUAGCAGGUAAUGCUGAGAACUCUAAGGAAACUGCCGGUGAUAAACCG